ACAUCGGUAAUUUGAGCAGGUGAAAGAGCUACCAUAGUGUUAGCAUAAGUUAUUCGGAUUCGCAACCUUACCUCCAGGCAAAUCCUGUUUAUUAGCCAACACCAAAAGAAGACAGUCCCGCAUUUCACGAUCUGAAAUAAUGCGAUGCAAUUCUUGACGAGCUUCUGAUAUACGAUUGCUGUCGGCAGAGUCAACAACAAAAAUUAAUCCUUUGGUUCCAGUAAAAUAAUGCCGCCAUAAAGGUCGUAUUUUAUCUUGACCUCCAACAUCCUACAAACAAAUCAACGUUAGAACAUGCUCGACCCAAGAUUGAUUAUAAAUAUACCCAAACGUUAAACUUGAUGUUUUUGUAAGUGACUGUUUCGACGUUAAAACCCACAGUGGGAAUGGUGACAACACUGGCUGUUAGUUAAUGAACACAAGAAAAAUCAAUUUCAUUUACGGAAGCAUAAUUGCAACUCAAGAUAAUGCGCGACAGUAGACUUCACUGAUUAAUUAACCAACAGUCUUCGUAAUGAAAUCUAUAUCUACUAUGCUAAUACAGAAGCAGCGCAUACGAUACCUUGACACAAUCGAAGAAUGCUGUUUAGUGCUCUUUACCUUUGAUUGAGUUUUAAUUUGUAUAAGAUAGCUAAAAUGUUAAUAAAAGAGUUACCAUUAUUAAAACACCAAGUUAAGCACGAUUAUACGGAAUGAAGACUGUAAAAAUCCAUCCGAAUAAAAAACAUACUCGUUUUUCCAGCUGCAUCCAGACCUAGCAUUAAGAUACGCAUUUCCUUGUUAGAAAACAACCGACUAAAUGGCUUUGAAAACCCCUUAAAUAGUGAAUUGCCCAUGGUAUCAAAUAAUCCCAGAAGAAGAUAACCAAAAGAAAGAAUAGACCAAAAAAACCAAAGAAGUAGAAUUUAUAUUGAACCCAGAUACAGGGCUUU